rnacentral:misc_RNA from 1 species
GUUCCCAUUUAGUUUGAAGUAAGAGUUUCCCUAAGAUUGUGUUGGAGUGUGAUAAUAAAAGUAGAAAUGCUGAAAGGCACGGAGAGAGUAAUUAGUAGCAUACGAUCGCAGUUCAUUAGCUUCAUUCUAUGAAUUGAGAGGUUAAGAUCACAAAUAUCCAUAGAGAAAUCAAUUUCUGUGCAAGAUGAUUUGUCUUCAUUUUUCACUUUUCAAUGAUACCUUUUGUGUUGCACAUUCCCGAUUUUGUGAAAUAGUUUACUUUGUUACGAAUUCUCACUCCCCUUUCACCAAAAUUACUUAAAAUUUGUAAUGAUAACAAAUAUAUUAUUAAUUUAGACAAAAAAAAAA